ensembl:lncRNA
CAAAUCUUCCCUCUUAUGCCAGGAUUGGAGAGGGAAAGGCAUCCAGCCGCAUGGAGUAGAGGAUGGGAUUGGGGCCCUAAGAGCUUCUUGAACAAACUUUUAAUGAAUGCUCCUCUUUGUAGCACCACCUCCACCUCCACCUCAGAGGCAUCAGGUGCCACCAAUACUUAAUUAAGAUUAUCAGGCCUUAACGUCUGUGCUGUGAGCUGGGCCGUUUCUGAGCUUUCCUUACAACUGCUUUGGGAUCCAGCAUGCUAAGCUCUGAUCCUUCAACAUCCAAAGCUUUUGCACAUCCUGUUAUCCUGACCUGAGAUGCUCUUGAGACGUCUGGCUCCUUCUCAUAUUGACAGUCUUAUCUCAAAUGGCUACUCUUCAGAGAGAUCACUGACCAACGCUAUAAGGAGGAAUCUCUCCACUGAGCUCAAUUGUUUUCCAUUGGAGGAAACUAAAACGCAUAAAGGAUUCAGGACUUGAUCAAGGUCGUAUAGCACCCUGGUUGGCAGACCAGAGCUAGAAACCAAGAAUAAUGGUCGAGACCAAAGUUUCUCAACUGGAGCACUACUGACGUUUUGGGAUAGAUAAUUCUUUGUUGUGAAGGCUAUCCUGUACAUUGUAGGAUGUUUAGCAGUUUACCUGACUUCUACACACCAGAUGCCAGUAGCAUCCCCCUCCAGUUAUGACAACCCAAAAUUUCUCCAGAUGUUGACAAGUGUCCUUGGUCGGGGAGGUAGUGUCUCCCCAACACUGUCCCCUCAACCCCUCAGUUCAGAAAAGGACAACCAGAUGCAUCGGGAAUUGGGAACUAUGGAUCUGUGUACAACAGGACUUCAGUUACUAGGCCUAUCUCAACUGAACAAUGGGAGAGAGGAUUUCUCCACGCAAUGGUCCAUGUGUAUACAGAGGAAAAUACAAACUCACCGGAGCUAUGAACUGUAGUAGCAGAAGCAACCAUACCAGCUCUGGAAUUUGGAUUGAAAAAAGAGAGUCACAAAGGAUUAGAAUGAGAACCUACUGUGGCCACCAGAUUCCUUAUCUCUCAUUGCUCACCAUUUCCUCAGCAUGAUGGGACAGGCCAAGGAGCUCUCUUGGUUGCAACCGGAAGGAUAUUGGAAGCUGUGAAGUUUAGCAUCCUUUUACAGCAAAAAAUUCAAGGAAUCAAUUCCAAGUGACCACAGUCAGGCAAAUAAGCCUACGCUGCACUUUUAGGGUAUCAUUGGCGGGCUCCUCAACUGCCUCUUAAUCUUCUGGCUCUGAUGGUGUCUGGCUGUGACUGAAUUCAGAGCUACCACGGCAGUAUUGCAGAGGAUAAGCUGCUGAAGGAGAGUCUGGCAAGAUUCCCUCUCAGGGGAGAUGAUAAUAAGACCCCAGGACCAUGCCAGAGAGCCCUCAGCAGAGCGAAUACUGGCUGUUAAUCGAGCCCUCUCCUUAAGCUUCCUCCUCCUCCUGCCCUCUUUGCAAAAAUUGGCUGGGUUCAUUGUGCAUACUGUCUCUCCAUGACAAUGUCUUUCCCUUGGAUGGUAAUUAUUUUUUAACAGGUUGAGGCAACUACAUAGUCAUUUGUGUCUGGGGAUAAGUAUUGUGGCCUAUUUUCAGUACAUUUCUCUUUUCCUAUAAUUGUCACACUCUUUAAUGAGGCUUGAAACACUCAAUUUCCUGACCUCUGUCUCAAAGACUUUGAUGUUUUGUGCCUGACAAGACAGUGUGAACCUCCUAAGAAUGAAAGGUAGAGUUCUGGUGACUGCUUCCAGCCCCCCAAAUAUUUUGUCUCUAAGCUCUAGCACUGCUGUUACAUUUCCUUCAGCAAAUACGCUCUCCUUUGAAUCCUUCUUGUAGCCUAUAGUCAAUUCCAAAGUUUCAGUUAAAUGAUCUUUUUGGGAGGGUGAAUCAAAGCCCUCAAGUAAAUCUAGAAAGUUAGAAAUCUAAGACCAGUUCAGCAACCAAGAAUCUGUUUAUAAGUUGAAAAUAAACCAACUGCAGAAGCACCUUACUUAUUUCUGUCAGCCGGAAUUAUUAGGAUCUCUUUCCCUGUGUUUGUCUGUUUUUCCCAUUUUCAGAUACUUUCAGUGCCUAGGACAAAGCUUUGCACACAGAAAGGACUUAGGGAAUAGUCCUUUAGCUUAGAAUGGGUGGAUGGAUGGAUGGAUGGAUGGAUGGGUGGGUGGAUGGAUGAAUGAAGAAAUAAGCUAUUUGGCAUACUGUCGAGAACCAGACUGGAAUUCAAAGAAGAAACUUUAUGGCACAAAUAUGUAUGCACUGUCCAUAUAUAUAUAUAUAGUAUAAUUCUGUUUGCCUGAAACAGUACUGGUUUACACCUUUGAUAUAUUUAUUAAUAGCAUCUUCAUUCACCUUCAAAUUUAUUGGACAGUAAAUAUAAAGUUGACGUAUUUAUACGUGAUGUUUACAGGUCCUUUAUUAAGAGCUAUUUACUCUUGUAUUUAAUUCAAAUAAUCUUGGCUAUCUGUUAUAUUUUGCAAUACAUUAGUGUAUUUUAAAUGGCCAUUGAUGGGUAGAGAGGCUUACCCUACCUCUUAAAGGAAGUCUCUUCAAGUUAGCGCUGUUUUAUAGCAUAGGUGAAGUUCAUUCUACAAGGCAGGGAAUUAAGAGAUGGAUUUAAAACAAUUUUAAUCAAAAUUAUUGCAAUUCAAAAAAGUGUUGGAGUUUCACUUAUUUGAAAAAAAUAACUCAUCCUCAUAUAUACUUAGGAAAAUUAAGUAUUACUAUAAUAAGUAACGUCUAUUCCCAGCUACUGCGUAUGCCAUAUGUUGAAGGUGGAAAUGUAGAAAAUACAGUUAAGGUCUUCACUUUUGAGGAUAUUGUAACAGAUAAUAAAACCGUGAUUAAUCACACUCCAGAUUCUAAAAAUCAUAAUUAUUUUUUCUCUUUUACUGCCUUUUAAGGGAAAGAGAUGUGCCACUUGAAAACAAAUUGGUAUCAUAAAUUUAGUUUAUAAAAGAAGAAAAAUGGGCUGGCCCGGUGGUGUAGUGGUUAAGGUUGCAUGCUCCGUUUGGUGGCCCAGAGUUCGCUGGUUUGGAUCUCAGGCAUAGACCUACACACCAUUCAUUAUGCCACGGUGGCAUCCCACAUGGAAGAACUAGAAGGAGUUAC